CCCUCUGCCCUCUCAUGCCCGCAGCCAGCCUGGGCUGUGCAACAUGUACAAGGACUCACACCAUGCAGCAAGAACUGCUCACUACGGCUCCCUGCCCCAGAAGUCACACGGCCGGACCCAAGAUGAAAACCCCGUAGUCCACUUCUUCAAGAACAUUGUGACACCUCGCACACCACCCCCGUCGCAGGGAAAGGGGAGAGGACUGUCCCUGAGCAGAUUUAGCUGGGUAGGUGACGAACGCACUUCCAUCGGCUUCCUCUUCCGUCCCGGUCCUCACAGCCCCGCAACUUUUGUGUUCUCCUCUGUUUCGGUUGCUUCCCGGCGUCCUUUUCUCUCCUCUCAAGACCUCUCUGCCCACAGCUGGGAUCGGGCCGCCUUCUCUUCCACUGGGGAAAUGAAA
rnacentral:sRNA from 1 species